ACCUGGGUAGCUCAAUCAGUUGAGCAUCAGACUUCAGCUCAGAUCAGGAUCUCAUGAUUUGUGGGUUUGAGCCCCACAUCAGGCU
rnacentral:tRNA from 1 species